GGAUCAAUACAUUGGUCGUGCCUUGGUACGUACUAGUUUAUUGGUUUCUUCCUUCUGACGAACCAUGAUGUCAUUAAUUUGGUGUUAUGGGGAAUCAGGACUGUUACUUUGAAAAAAUUAGAGUGUUUAAAGCAGGCUUCACGCUUGAAUACAUUAGCAUGGAAUAAUGAAAUAGGACGUUUGAUUCUAUUUUGUGGUUUCUAGGAUCGACGUAAUGAUU
rnacentral:rRNA from 1 species